rnacentral:misc_RNA from 1 species
GAUGAAGAACGUAGCGAAAUGCGAUAAGUAAUGUGAAUUGCAGAAUUCAGUGAAUCAUCGAAUCUUUGAACGCACCUUGCGCUCUUUGGUAUUCCGAAGAGCAUGCCUGUUUGAGUGUCAUGAAAAUAUCAACCUUGACUUGGGUUUUGUGCUCUAGUCUCGGCUUGGAAUUGGGUGCUUGCCGCUUUUACGAGCGGCUCACCUUAAAUGUAUUAGCUGGAUCUGUCUUUGAGACUUGGUUUGACUUGGCGUAAUAAGUAUUUCGCUAAGGACAUUCUUCGGAGUGGCCUCGUUUCUAGGACGCUUGUCCGCUUUCCAAUACAAGUUCCACCUCGUGGACAUGACUUUUUAUUAUCUGGCCUCAAAUCAGGUAGGACUACCCGCUGAACUUGAGCAUAUCAAUAAGCGGAGGA